rnacentral:rRNA from 1 species
UCGUUAGUUUUUUAAUUGGAAUCUUGUAUGAAUGGUUUGACAAAAGAAAAUCUGUCUUUAUAAUUAUUUAUUGAAUUUAACUUUUAAGUGAAAAGGCUUAAAUAAUUUAAAAAGACGAUAAGACCCUAUAAAGCUUAAUAUUAAUUUUUAUUUAAUAGAAUUUUUAAUAAUAUAAGUAUUUAGUAGAAAAUUUUUUAUUUUAUUGGGGCGAUAGUAAUAAAAUGAUUAUUAACUGUUAAUAGAAUUUAAACAAAAAUAAAUGAAUAAAGUAUAGAUUAAAUGAUCCUUUUUGAAGAUUAGAAGUUUAAGUUACUUUAGGGAUAACAGCGUUAUUUUUUUUGAGAGUUCUUAUCGAGAAAAAAGUUUGCGACCUCGAUGUUGAAUUAAAAUAUCUAUAUAAUUGUAGCAGUUAUAUAAGAAGGUCUGUUCGACCUUUAAAU